CAAUAGCGUAUAUUAAAGUUGUUGCGGUUAAAAAGCUCGUAGUUGGAUUUCUGCCGAGGACGACCGGUCCGCCCUCUGGGUGAGUAUCUGGUUCGGCCUGGGCAUCUUCUUGGAGAACGUAUCUGCACUUGACUGUGUGGUGCGGUAUCCAGGACUUUUACUUUGAGGAAAUUAGAGUGUUUCAAGCAGGCACACGCCUUGAAUACAUUAGCAUGGAAUAAUAAGAUAGGACUUUGAGUCUAUUUUGUUGGUUUGCGAGUCAAAGUAAUGAUUAAUAGGGACAGUUGGGGGUAUUCGUAUUUCAUUGUCAGAGGUGAAAUUCUUGGAUUUCUGAAAGACGAACUACUGCGAAAGCAUUUACCAAGGAUGUUUUCAUUAAUCAAGAACGAAAGUUAGGGGAUCGAAGAUGAUCAGAUACCGU
rnacentral:rRNA from 1 species